GGCCUUUUGCAUGACUACAAAGGGUGUGUAAAUUAAUUCCACAGCAAAUGUUAUUGUUGUACCUUAAAAAUAACUCGUGGAUUAUUUUUUAACUGCAGAAGCUGGCAAAGGACGAUGCCACAGCAAUGAGUCAACUUUCCAGUGAAGCAGCUUCAUCCACGGGAACAUCACAGCAUCAAGAUGAGCCAGCAGGUCUCUCUCAAGCCGCAAUGGACAUUGGCAUCUCUGAGGGCUCGUCUGAUGUGCUAGCAGAGGGUGCUGCUACAUCUGCUAGCUCGUCCUUCACUGAUUCAGACAUCGCUGAUGAGCCUUCCGAAACCCAAGAUGUCCUGUCUCCUAGUCCAAGGCCUACCAGCACACUCAAGGGUGAAGCUUCUGCAGCACUGCCUACGCACAACCUAGCGAUACCUCGAACAGCAAGGCAUAUUAUGGUGAGGAUAAUACUCGACCACUGCAAUUUUUACAUACUUGUUUCCUUAGGUAACUGCAAGUGAAGUAGCAUUUAUUUUCAUGGCAGCUGUUUAAUAGCUGAAGCAUAAUAAAUUUCACUCGGUGAACUGCACAUGGACACUAACAUUUAUGAUAAUGGCAGCCAUGUAAUUAAAAGCUGAAACAUAUUCAUAUUCGCCCAUAGCGGUACGAGUUUCCUCAGGGUUUGCAUUAAACACCAAUUGGCGGCCAAUAAUCAUUCUUCAAUUUCUCUUUUCCAUUCAAAUGACACAAUGGACUAGAAGAUCAACAGGUUUCUCACAAUUUUCUACGCUCUUUAUUUGUUCGAUCGAUCAUGAUGAGCCGUGAUACAGGCAGACAAAAGUGGUCUUUUGUGUAGGAGUACGAGCUCAGUAUAUUUUGCCCACUCAAACUAAAAGGCUUCUGUGAAGCAUCUCGUGUUGAACUAUGCUACAUUGGCCUCUUCUGUGUUAGUUGUUUUGUACUUUUACCUUUCCUGCCUGGGCCCAGAUGGGCCUGCAGUAUUUUGCAAAUAAAUAAACAAAAUUUUGAGACACUAGCAAGCUCGCAUGGAUGGCAGUUUUACGCCCUCACAGUUUUUUGGUUCACAAAAGUGUAAAUGGAAAGUCGUGAGCAAGGUAAUGACCUAAAAUUUAGCCUUAUAUUUUUCAUAGCUUGCACAAGAAUGUAUGCCACAACAAUUAAGUACUUUGUUCUGGGUACGUGAUUUGUGUCAUGUUGGUUGCCCAUGCACCUGUUUUUUGUGCGUGUGAUAUUUCGCAGCCACAGCCAGCAGAAGACGGCGCCUGAAAAGGCCUUUCUGAGGCAUGAAGUAAGAUGCUCCUCACAAUUGCAAACUGCGACCAAGAAGAAGAUCAAGACUCUGCAGCAAUCCCGUCACCGGCUUUUGCAAAAGGUUGCUCAUCUCCAAGAUGUCAUAGAAGAUUUAUCUGACAAUCACAUUCUAGGAAAUGAGGAUGUCGCCACUUUGCAGAGUCUUGGUGGGGCAAAAAAAGACUUGCUCAUGCGUCAACUGCCACACAAGUCUGGUGCAGCAGUGUCACCCGCUUACUCGCUAGAGCUCGGGGCAUUUGCACUAACUUUACAUUUCAAUUCCCCUAGAGAAUACCGAUAUGUACGAGCUGUUUUCGACACAUGCCUCCUGUAUCCAAAGACAUUGUGUAAAUGGUAUCAAUCCAUUGAUGGGGCUGCUGGCUUUUCAAAAGAGGCAAUGACUGCUUUGGCUAUGAAGGUAAAGCACGGCCACUCCACAUUAUGCAGUCUGGUUGUGGAUGAGAUGGCUAUUCGGAGACAUGUGGAGUGGGACGGAAAAGGUUCCAUGGAUAUGUUAACACGGGCAUUGAUGUCACUAGUGACAGCUUUCCAGUUGCCAAAGAUGCAUUUGUUUUCUUGCUUGUUGCAAUCAAUGGUAGAUCGAAGCUGCCCAUUGGUUACUUUCUAGUGGAUGGCCUUGGUGGUGAGCAGAGGUGCAAUUUGGUGCUGCAAGCUGCUAACUUUGCUCACGAAAAAGGUGCACACAUUGCGAAUUUGACCUGCGAUGGCGCUGCAGCGAAUUUGUCAUUGUUGUGCAGCCUUGGCUGCAAGAUGGACCUGAUUGAACUGGAUGCUUCUUUUCUGCAUCCAGUGACAAGAAAAGCCUCUCUUUGCCAUGUUGGAUCCCUGUCACAUGUUGAAGCUGCUGCUGCACACCCUGUGUGAUAAAAAGGCUAUUGUCGAUAUGAACAAACAGUUCAUAUUGUGGAAACACAUUGAUGAGCUGCGUGAAAUCCAGUACACAGAAGGCCUACAUUUGGCAAGCAAACUUAGACAGGCACAUAUUAAUUGGAAAAACUGGCCCAUGAAAGUCCCAUUGUUGGCUCAAACGUUUAGUCAAUCGGCAGCAGAUGCUCUUAGUGAAUGCAGAGCUCGAAAAAUUCCAAAAUUUUCAAAUUCCUUGGCAACAGAAGAGUUUAUCAGACAUGUCAACAAAGCAUUCGACAUUUUAAAUUCAAGACAUCCAAGGCAAGAAGGAUAGAAAAGGCCGCUGUGUCCUGAAAAUGUGACUCCUGUCACUGCGUAUGUCGAAGAACUGAAGGCCUACUUAUGCUCACUGAGGGAGUCUGCAGCUGGUAAACUAAUGACAGAGACCAACCAAAAGACAGGCUUCAUUGCCUUUGUGGUGUGCUUAGACAACGCCAUCCGCCUAUACAACCACUUGGUUACAGAAAAUGGCCUAUUGGAACAUCUUCCAACUUCCAAGCUCAGUCAGGACCACCUUGGGCUAUUUUUUGCUGCAAUAAGAUCACUUGGGCGCUGUAAUGACAACCCAACAGCAAAGCAGUUUGCAGCAGCAUUGAAGCGUCUGAUAGUUCGCAAUGAGGUCAAGGACAUUGAUGGCGGAAAUUGCUUUCUAUUGGAACACAUCGAAAGUCUCUUCAUAAGAUCCUCUGAAAAACCAUCCUCCAUUGAUGUACAAUUAACUUCACUGCCCCUAAGAGAAGCCCUGGAGCCAGUGAACCACUCACGGAAGCAAUUUUAGAAAAUCGUGGCUAAUCUGCCGACCCAGGCAGGGUGUCCGAGAUUGGGUGUCGGUGACUCGCAGUACAGGAAAAACUGCUACACAAGUUUCCUCGUGGGUAAAUUAUGUUCAUGAUGGCUCACACAAUCAAUUCCUUUAUCCAUCAACUUCGGAUGUCCCAGCAGGUUCUGUUAAGGCAUUUGUUUUUUGAGUGACUUUGUAAAACGCAUAUAUUGUUCAAGAGCGUUGUAUGCAGACAUCAAACAUUUAUAGGGGGAAAAUGUGAUAGUUUAUUGUAAAUUAUGCAAGUACAUGUUUGUUGUCUUGCUGAAUGCUGUAGCUUGAAUCACCUGCAUGCGAAUUCUACUGAAACAAUUGUUCUGUUCAGCACCAAGCUAAGCAGUAUGGACAGUGACGGUAGCUUAGCUGGCCUACCUAUCACUAGACCAAACUGUGUGAUGACAUGGACAUGCUGUGAAUGCUCUCAGUGCAUUAUGGGUGAGCUAAGUAUACUCUCGAGAAUGACAAUGUAUUUUUCAGUUUGAUCCUGUAUGUCUUUUACCUGACCUUUGUGGAAAUUUGCCUCUGUCACCUGGAAUACCGUUGGUUUUAUUAUUUCCAAAAUAAUUUAAUGUGCUCACUUUGUUUACUUGCUUUACAAUGGCCUUUUAAGAUGCCAGAUUCACUGUAACUAUGAACAUUUGGUGCAUACCACUGAAUGAGUUUUAAAUACCGCGACAUAUACAUUUAUUUGAGGUUCACAGUGUAAUAGAGACGUCGCCUCUUAAUUUUGCGGUGUGUUGGCUCAGCUUGGACAGUGCUAAUAUGUUUCUAGGUGUGUGAUACAACAUAAGGUUUUUUGUACAUUUUACUUGCAGCAAAAUGCGUAAUGUUGACAUACUUAGUUUGUGGGUCUGACCUCACAUCAAUUCUUUCAACUUUGACUUUGUGAACUACUACUCUUUUUUUUUCGAUUUCUGCAUAUGUAUUGCUUAUUUUUCUAACAAGCAUCAUCACUGAAGCCUCUUGCUAUUUGUGAGUACAGCGCAGACAUAAAUAUUAUACAAUUAUAGCCCUGUAACGAAAACGUUGCAUACAAGCAAAACUGCAGCUACAUUCAAGGAUAGCUGAUCCCAUUAACCAGUUUUAUUAAAGGUAUCAAUACUAUGUGUCAGUGGCGCACCGACGGGGGGGGGAUUCGGGGGUUGUAACCCCCCCCUGAGGCCGACUUAAUCCCCCCCCCCCUUUUGUUUAACCCCUUUUCUUUCCUUACGCAUUUGAGUGCUGCAACUAAGAUGUAAGAUGCGCAAGCGUCUGCACACUCGCAAAAAGCGCAUUUUUUUACAAUUUCCCGUGAAUAAAUCGAAAUUAGUGCUGUUUAGAUGGUAUUGGCAAACUGUCAACCCCCCCUGGCAGAGAUCCUGGGUGCGCUACUGCUAUGUGUGAUAUAGUUUACAUUGUAUAACAUUAUUAUACAAACGCCCUGUGGCAUACAGGUAUGCUGACAAUGAUAUAGAGCAGUGGCACAAUAAAUUUUCCUACUUGCUGUUUAUAAUUUUCUUUUGUGUAUACUCUUUACAACGUACUUCAUUCAUAUUAUAAAUGUGGCUUCCUUCGGUGUGUGAAAUCUUCUGGCUUCUAUAGGUGCAAUAAACAUUGAAUAAAGAAUGAAACAAUUACUGUUGUCAUAAAAAUGUGCUUUCCAUAGUACAAGUACACCAGCUACAGAAUGUAUCCACAAGUGCAAAUGAAUACUGACAUUUUUUCCCUUGCCGCUAUGUAUUGUUUUCAUGCCGUUACCUAGCAGGUUCACACUAGGAGUGGAAGGGUCCCCCUUGCAGUGCUUGACUCUAGGACAUAAUCCUGCUGUGGAGCUAUACUCACAUUCGAAAACAGCUGAAUAAACUCUACAUAAUGCACAAAUUCCGUCCAUUUGCUUUAUUAUUAUAUAAUGCAAAUGGAGCCCCGAGGCGCGUCUCAACAGCGUCAUCACAUCACACAAUCUUACAAAACAGUGCACGUAAAUCUGAAUAAACGGCGAUGACUUCGGCGUUUAGAAUGCAGGCUAAUGCUAUUUAUUUCUCUCAAAACAAAAGAUGCACAG